rnacentral:rRNA from 1 species
AUUACCGCGGCUGCUGGCACGUAGUUAGCCGGGGCUUCUUCUGCAGGUACAGUCUCGUCUCUUCCCUGCUGAAAGCGGUUUACGACCCGAAGGCCUCCGUCCCGCACGCGGCGUCGCUGCGUCAGGGUUGCCCCCAUUGCACAAGAUUCCCCACUGCUGCCUCCCGUAGG